GGUGAAUGAUGGCAGCACUACGUUGGAGGACCGCCUUGGUGCUGUGGCCGACCUGCAGCUGGCCAUACGCAGCCGCAAGCUUCAGGACGACAUCAUGGUGAUUGCAGGAGACAUGCUGUGUGCAGACCAGAACUUUGACAUCGCUCAAGUUAUCCGUUUCUUCAGGUCACAGACUGGAGAGCUGAUGAUCUACUACGAGCUGGAGGAAAGUGAGAAACGCAGCUCCAGAGGCAUUGUGGAAGUCUGCCCUGAACA